rnacentral:rRNA from 1 species
GUGGGGAAUAUUGGGCAAUGGGGGAAACCCUGACCCAGCAACGCCGCGUGAAGGAAGAAGGCUUUCGGGUUGUAAACUUCUUUUACCAGGGAAAAACACAAUGAUGGUACCUGGAGAAAAAGCUACGGCUAACUACGUGCCAGCAGCCGCGGUAAUACGUAGGUGGCAAGCGUUGUCCGGAAUUACUGGGUGUAAAGGGCGUGUAGGCGGAACUACAAGUCAGGGGUGAAAACUAUGGGCUUAACCCAUAGCCUGCCUUUGAAACUGUAGUCCUUGAGUGCUGGAGAGGCAAUUGGAAUUCCUAGUGUAGCGGUGAAAUGCGUAGAUAUUAGGAGGAACACCAGUGGCGAAGGCGAAUUGCUGGACAGUAACUGACGCUGAGGCGCGAAAGCGUGGGGAGCAAACAGGAUUAGAAACCCUUGUAGUCC